UUUGCCUGGCAUCGGAUGUUCAGCCAUGAAGUACCUAAUCACCCAUUGGAGCUCCACCAGCGUGGAUUGAGUUUCUUUGUACUAGAUUUCCCAAUCAAUAUAAGGUAUGAACAAGAUUUUACAACAGCCGGCUUUAUUGCAAAAACACACAGAUUUUUGGAUCACAAAUUACACACUUUACAAAAACUGACAUUGAUGACAAAAUUUUUUGUCCAAGCUAUAUUAAACAAUUCCCUCUCUACCAAUUUACUCAUCAAUAUCAAUUUCACUCAUCAGUAUUUAAGUUACUAGUCCCAUGACGUUUCACGAAUAAUGCUACUUGGCUUAUUAAGCAUUCUUUAAGUACCAUAUAUAAAUAAGUGUCAGUCCAGUCGUUACAUUAACAUUUUUAGUCCGUAUAGCUGAAUCAUUUGAUAGCUGCUCCUGGACUGUCAUGAGCUUCAAAGAGUUCAUUCCAAUUAUGUACAUGCCAAACCUAAGACGAUCACAGUUUUCCCAUUAAUGAAAGGACACUAAGGAGAAAUAAGUUUGCAGAUUUGGGCUUACGAGGCUAUCGUGUCAUUAACCAAACAAGGGUCGCAAUGAUGCUGAAUAUGCAGGCAACAUAUGCCUCUAGGGCAAAAGAUAUUACCACUAUCCUCGCCAAUCCUCGAGUGAAUUCUCAUGGAUUAAAAGGAAGUGAAGGAAAGAAGAGAAAAGUGGGCAAAAAUGGCAAUAUUUAAAGUACGUGGAUGAAAGUGGCCAUUGAAAGAAAAUUGGAGAGCAAUUGGAAUCCUUUAGAAAGUCAAACAUUGUGGGCUAGGUUACCACUAAUAUAAAUACACAUGCUGGCAAAAAUAAAAGGAGAAGAGGGGAGGAUAGAUACAAAUUAAUUGGAGACGGCAGCUUGGCAAAAAAGGGGGCUGAAUUUGUAAUCCAAAAAUCACAAAAGAAGGGCUGCGGCUGGAGUAUAUAUAUAUAUAUUGAUAGGCAAUUUGGACGGUGGAAAAAGUGGAGAAAAAGGGCUGACUGCUGGAGACGGCUGCUGGUGAGUUAAAAAUAUUGGGCUGAAUUUAUCAAUUCAUACACUAAGUUGGUGGCUGCAACUUUGGAGAUACAAAUCACGCAAUUUGGGAGCAGCCUGGGGAAUAAAGAUACGUAUACAUCGGUGGCUGGAGGCUGCUGUUAUUAAUAUAUGUAUAUACACACACGCAACAAAAGGCAGCAGAUUGGAGAAAACAUAGAGGAGACAAUGGCCGAAUUACGCUCGGAGAAUUGAGGAAUUAAACAUAUACAAAACUGCUAGGGGGCUGAAAUUGGAACCUUUUGGAACUAAAAAGUGGACGGCAAAAGACAACUCAUGGCCAAUCAAUGGGAAAAAGACGACAACUUUAAUUUGGAUAUUAAUCACAUUUCGUCAAAUUUCGGUGAUGUCGUUCCACUUUUAUUUGUUUAAUUCUAGCAUCAUGUUUAGCUAAUUCCUUUUUAUGUAUUGGAGGAGACGAACCCUAUUGUUUAUUUAUUUCUAAUUCAAGAAAAGUAAUUUAAUUUAA